rnacentral:rRNA from 1 species
ACCGGCGGCCCGAGUGGUGAUCGUGAUUAUUGGGUCUAAAGGGUCCGUAGCCGGUUUGGUCAGUCCUCCGGGAAAUCUGAUAGCUCAACUAUUAGGGCUUCGGGGGGAUACUGCCAGACUUGGAACCGGGAGAGGUAAGAGGUACUACAGGGGUAGGAGUGAAAUCUUGUAAUCCCUGUGGGACCACCUGUGGCGAAGGCGUCUUACCAGAACGGGUUCGACGGUGAGGGACGAAAGCUGGGGGCACGAACCGGAUUAGAUACCCGGGUAGUCCCAGCCGUAAACGAUGCUCGCUAGGUGUCAGGCAUGGCCGCGACCGUGUCUGGUGCCGCAGGGAAGCCGUGAAGCGAGCCACCUGGGAAGUACGGCCGCAAGGCUGAAACUUAAAGGAAUUGGCGGGGGAGCACAACAACGGGUGGAAGCCUGCGGUUUAAUUGGACUCAACGCCGGACAACUCACCGGGGGCGACAGCAAUAUGUAGGCCAAGCUGAAGACUUUGCCUGAAUCGCUGAGGGGUGGUGCAUGG